rnacentral:rRNA from 1 species
GACGAACGCUGGCGGCGUGCUUAACACAUGCAAGUCGAACGGAAAGGCCCCUUUGGGGGUACUCGAGUGGCGAACGGGUGAGUAACACGUGAGUAACCUGCCCUUGACUUCGGGAUAACUUCAGGAAACUGGGGCUAAUACCGGAUAGGAAUCCUUGCUGCAUGGUGGGGGUUGGAAAGCUUCGGCGGUUUUGGAAGGACUCGCGGCUUAUCAGCUUGUUGGUGGGGUAGUGGCUUACCAAGGCUUUGACGGGUAGCCGGCCUGAGAGGGCGACCGGCCACAUUGGGACUGAGAUACGGCCCAGACUCCUACGGGAGGCAGCAGUGGGGAAUAUUGCACAAUGGGCGGAAGCCUGAUGCAGCAACGCCGCGUGCGGGAUGACGGCCUUCGGGUUGUAAACCGCUUUCAGCAGGGGCGAAGCUUGUGGUGACGGUACCUGCAGAAGAAGCACCGGCUAACUACGUG